UGAGUAUCUAAGUUACUUCUUGGGAGAGAGUGCUGCACAGCUGGAGAGCCCCUUCAGCUGUUGGCAGAAUGAUGAAUAAGAAAAUAACAGAAUGUGCUGCAGUAUACUUCAAGUCUUCCAGGAAAAUGGGCAGUUGGGAGGAAGUGCUGAUAGAAUUCCUGAAAGGUGGGCAUCAUGUGGAGUAGUAAACUGAGCUGAAACUGCAUCUGUGCCU